rnacentral:rRNA from 1 species
ACAACUUUCAGCAACGGAUCUCUUGGCUCUCGCAUCGAUGAAGAACGCAGCGAAAUGCGAUAAGUAAUGUGAAUUGCAGAAUUCAGUGAAUCAUCGAAUCUUUGAACGCNCCUUGCACUCCUUGGUAUUCCGAGGAGUANGCCUGUUUGAGNGUCAUUA